ensembl:lncRNA
GUUGUACCCAUUGUAGCAUAGUUGGUUAAGGUGCCUGUCCAGUAAACAGUAGAUCCUGGGUUCAGAUCCCUGUAGUACCUACAAUUCUGCGUCACCAUUUACUGGUGUAUAUUUCGAUACAAGCUUUCUUGCGGCAACCAAUAAACGUCUCGUCUUAACUGGUAAUUUAGCUCGUGUUUGUGAACCUGCAAAGUAUCAACGCAAUAAACUUUCCUUCGAUGUCAAUUGCACAACAAUUUUGUUUUGUGUAUAUUCUCAGUGGAAUUUAAUGUGUAUACAUAUACACACACAUACACAUACACAUAUAUAUACACAUACAUUAAAUUCCCCUGAGAAUAUACAGAACAAAAUUGUGCAAUUGACACAACACUUUUGUGUUGUCAAUUGCACACACACAUUAUAAACAUUUAUUCCAUAAUUUAAAUGAACUAGAAGUGCAUAGUUCAGCGUUAUUCUGACCGACCCAACAGCAGACUCUGAUGACUUGCUCUUGUAAAACCCUUACCAUAACCGGUUAACCAUGCUUGUUAUAAACAUUUAUCACCCCCACUAAUAUACCCCUCUGGUAAUGUGUGAGGUUGAUAACAAGAAAAGGUUGAUAACAAAACAACACUGCGUGUUUAACAUGUUGUAAAGCUUGAAUAGAUUAAUGGUUAUUCCAUACAUCCACUGCCACAACAUGAAUAGCACCUUCUGUACAGCUGAGAAGAUGUUCCUUGUUGAAUCCAGAUUAGAUUUGAAUGUAAUGAAAGCCUCUCUAGAGUCAUGUCGAAGAGGUUUGAGCCUCCAUGCUUAAACACCAUCACAUAAAGGUUGACCUUUCUUCCUCUUGGGUCACCACAUAAUUCUGAUGUAUAAAGCAUAACAUACUAGGUUGUACAGUGUCACUUGAAAUAAAACCUACUCGUGUUGUAUGGAGUAGAAUUGAAAAAAAAACUUUACUCUGCUUUUUUUUGAAAAAGGUAAACAUCAGGUCAUCAAUGCACAUAAAAUUAAACCCAAAUAUUAACCAAAUACAGCUUAACCAAACACAUCCAUUAACCAAGAAGGGAUCACGAGGUGUGACAGUAACAAAAUGAUCUGCAAAAAAAAGGAAAGCGAACGUAACGAUUAUCCUGAGAAUUGUAGUUUAGCGUAAAAGAAAAAUAAGGAAAUGCUUAACAUGUAAAAAAUCAUUCACCCCCCGUUAUGUUGACUCGAUUUUCAUCUUGGCACAUUCAAGUCUAAAACACAACAUUCUGUGUUGUCUCAUCUAUACGCAUCCAGUUAACCUUUGGUCUUGCGGUAGCAAGUAAAAAAACGCAUACAAAAGUCAAUAGAGGAGGGAAAAAGGAUAUCACACAUAUUUAGUUAUUUUGGAUUAUAAGAAAAACAAUACACAAUUCUUUAUCUUUAUGAUGAUCAGCUUCUUCUCCAACGUUUGGUUCACUUGGUGGUAUGAGUUUACGCUUGGGAACUCAAUCGUAAUUCUGCCUGAUGAAUUACAAAUUAUAUUGCAGCAAGUCCUUCUGAGAUGCAGCGAAAAACUAAUUAAAAACUCAAAUUACAUUCUUUGAGUGUGUCUUGCCUUCCCAAAACUGGAUGCCUUGAUGUCAGUGAUGCUACCCCGGUGUGGGAAUAUCCCAUUUUGAGUUCCUCCCUGUUACGGACCAACUCUUCCAUAGUACCUCCAACAACCGGUGAGCACUUCACAGACACGUGGUUCUGGAACACUUUGAGGUCAUAACGAGGUCACACAGUCCAUCUUGACGGUCGAACAGAGGUCACACGAUCCAUCUUGCCGGUCACACCGAGGUCUCGCGCUCCAUCAGAAGGGGGUCCGAGGCAGGAAGCAGCACCUUGGUCUCUGCCUCCGUGGCUCCUUUGUCCGACGAGAAGGUGUCUCCGUUCCUGUCCUCCGCGUGCAUCUUGUCCGGGAAUGACAAGAGGUGUGUUCCGUUAACUGUAUGGUUCGGGGCCCGUGUUCUUUAUGAGAGUA